UUCAUAGCUCUUGAUUAUAACUAGGAAAAUCUCUGAGGCAUAUGGUAAAUCAACAACAAAGUAAACCACUUUUUAAUUGAGUAUUCAUUAUUUGCAGGUAUUCUGCAAGACACAUUUACCAAUGUAAGGUGAUAAAAUCAUCUAGCUCCCAAAGAAAUGUUCAAAAUAGGAAGAUCUCAAGUUCCAUAAAACAGCCUAGCCUCACCCACUCCUGUUAACAAACCAAUCCAGGAAGUUGCAAGAGCAACCUUGUGGGCCAAGUGAUGCCAAGAAGGAUCAGAACAAGAUGUGUGGAGGAGUGGAACGCAAACUGCCAAAUAAAUCUAGCUGUAUUACAGAUGAAUCACAUGAUCACACUAAAGGACAUGAGGAAGAAAUUAAAGGAAAGCAUAUGACAACUGCCAGUAGGAUCCAGCUCUGAAGAAAUUAAAUACAAGGUCAAUGAUGAUGGUCUGCUUCCCUGGUACAGCUUUGCUGAAGCUUCAGGACUCUGUGAGAAGCCCAGAAUUUGACUUGGCACCCAAGCUAGCCUAGAACCAACAUUAAUGCAAAGAGGCUCUGAACUAGAAAAGUCUAAAAGUCUAAAUAAAUACACUGUCUCUCCAUGUCCUGUACAUAUGGAUCCAGAAGUGUUCCCAUGAUCUGAGAUAGAGAAUACUGAGAAGGCCAAUGGACUGACAAAGGCUGGAGGGUCAUGGCUGAAAUAUUCUGGGAUUUCAACAUUGGAGCGCAGUGGCCAGAGCUCCAGCAACCAUCUUGGACAAUGAAAAAACCUUCACGAUGAUAGCCAUGGCGAAACACAGUGGAGUAGGAGGAUAAAAGAGACUGAGAACCAGAUAACCACGGAGUUCCAUACCAGCUCUCCUGAUACCUUUCAUAAAAGAGUGAAAUGAACAUCUACCUUUUUGUUUUGCUUCAUUAUUACUUGGCUGGGUUUUCUUUUAAGUUACCAAUAGUCUAUUUUUACUUGUACUUUA
rnacentral:lncRNA from 1 species